rnacentral:rRNA from 1 species
AUUGAACGCUGGCGGCAGGCUUAACACAUGCAAGUCGAACGGUAACGGGAAGGAAGCUUGCUUUCUUUGCUGACGAGUGGCGGACGGGUGAGUAAUGCUUGGGAAUCUGUUUUAUGGAGGGGGAUAACUACGGGAAACUGUAGCUAAUACCGCGUAAUAUCGAGAGAUUAAAGUGUGGGACCGCAAGGCCACAUGCCAUGAAGUGAGCCCAAGUGGGAUUAGGUAGUUGGUGGGGUAAAGGCCUACCAAGCCGUCGAUCUCUAGCUGGUCUGAGAGGAUGACCAGCCACACUGGGACUGAGACACGGCCCAGACUCCUACGGGAGGCAGCAGUGGGGAAUAUUGCACAAUGGGCGCAAGCCUGAUGCAGCCAUGCCGCGUGAAUGAAGAAGGCCUUCGGGUUGUAAAGUUCUUUCGGUGGUGAGGAAGGUUGGCGUGUUAAUAGCACGUUGAUUUGACGUUAGCCACAGAAGAAGCACCGGCUAACUCCGUGCCAGCAGCCGCGGUAAUACGGAGGGUGCGAGCGUUAAUCGGAAUAACUGGGCGUAAAGGGCACGCAGGCGGAUACUUAAGUGAGGUGUGAAAGCCCUGGGCUUAACCUAGGAAUUGCAUUUCAUACUGGGUAUCUAGAGUAUUUUAGGGAGGGGUAGAACUCCACGUGUAGCGGUGAAAUGCGUAGAGAUGUGGAGGAAUACCGAAGGCGAAGGCAGCCCCUUGGGGGAAUACUGACGCUCAUGUGCGAAGCGUGGGGAGCAAACAGG